CCGAAACCAGGUGAUCUACCCAUGGUCAGGUUGAAGUUCAGGUAACACUGAAUGGAGGACCGAACCGACUUACGUUGAAAAGUGAGCGGAUGAACUGUGGGUAGCGGAGAAAUUCCAAUCGAACUUGGAGAUAGCUGGUUCUCUCCGAAAUAGCUUUAGGGCUAGCCUCAAGUGAUGAUUAUUGGAGGUAGAGCACUGUUUGGACGAGGGGCCCCUCUCGGGUUACCGAAUUCAGACAAACUCCGAAUGCCAAUUAAUUUAACUUGGGAGUCAGAACAUGGGUGAUAAGGUCCGUGUUCGAAAGGGAAACAGCCCAGACCACCAGCUAAGGUCCCAAAAUAUAUGUUAAGUGGAAAAGGAUGUGGCGUUGCCCAGACAACUAGGAUGUUGGCUUAGAAGCAGCCAUCAUUUAAAGAGUGCGUAAUAGCUCACUAGUCGAGUGACACUGCGCCGAAAAUGUACCGGGGCUAAACAUAUUACCGAAGCUGUGGAUUGUCCGUAGGACAAUGGUAGGAGAGCGUUCUAAGGGCGUUGAAGCAUGAUCGCAAGGACAUGUGGAGCGCUUAGAAGUGAGAAUGCCGGUGUGAGUAGCGAAAGACGGGUGAGAAUCCCGUCCACCGAUUGACUAAGGUUUCCAGAGGAAGGCUCGUCCGCUCUGGGUUAGUCGGGUCCUAAGCUGAGGCCGACAGGCGUAGGCGAUGGAUAACAGGUUGAUAUUCCUGUACCACCUAGCAUCGUUUUAAUCGAUGGGGGGACGCAGUAGGAUAGGCGAAGCGUACGAUUGGAUUGUACGUCUAAGCAGUGAGAUUGAGUGUUAGGCAAAUCCGGCACUCUUAAGAUUGAGCUGUGAUGGGGAGAGGAAAUUGUUUCCUCGAGUCGUUGAUUUCACACUGCCGAGAAAAGCCUCUAGAUAGAUAAUAGGUGCCCGUACCGCAAACCGACACAGGUAGUCAAGAUGAGAAUUCUAAGGUGAGCGAGCGAACUCUCGUUAAGGAACUCGGCAAAAUGACCCCGUAACUUCGGGAGAAGGGGUGCUCUUUAGGGUGCAAGCCCAGAAGAGCCGCAGUGAAUAGGCCCAAGCGACUGUUUAUCAAAAACACAGGUCUCUGCUAAACCGUAAGGUGAUGUAUAGGGGCUGACGCCUGCCCGGUGCUGGAAGGUUAAGAGGAGUGGUUAGCUUCUGCGAAGCUACGAAUCGAAGCCCCAGUAAACGGCGGCCGUAACUAUAACGGUCCUAAGGUAGCGAAAUUCCUUGUCGGGUAAGUUCCGACCCGCACGAAAGGCGUAACGAUUUGGGCACUGUCUCAACGAGAGACUCGGUGAAAUCAUAGUACCUGUGAAGAUGCAGGUUACCCGCGACAGGACGGAAAGACCCCGUGGAGCUUUACUGUAGCCUGAUAUUGAAAUUCGGCACAGCUUGUACAGGAUAGGUAGGAGCCUUUGAAACGUGAGCGCUAGCUUACGUGGAGGCGCUGGUGGGAUACUACCCUAGCUGUGUUGGCUUUCUAACCCGCACCACUUAUCGUGGUGGGAGACAGUGUCAGGCGGGCAGUUUGACUGGGGCGGUCGCCUCCUAAAAGGUAACGGAGGCGCUCAAAGGUUCCCUCAGAAUGGUUGGAAAUCAUUCAUAGAGUGUAAAGGCAUAAGGGAGCUUGACUGCGAGACCUACAAGUCGAGCAGGGUCGAAAGACGGACUUAGUGAUCCGGUGGUUCCGCAUGGAAGGGCCAUCGCUCAACGGAUAAAAGCUACCCCGGGGAUAACAGGCUUAUCUCCCCCAAGAGUUCACAUCGACGGGGAGGUUUGGCACCUCGAUGUCGGCUCAUCGCAUCCUGGGGCUGUAGUCGGUCCCAAGGGUUGGGCUGUUCGCCCAUUAAAGCGGUACGCGAGCUGGGUUCAGAACGUCGUGAGACAGUUCGGUCCCUAUCCGUCGUGGGCGUAGGAAAUUUGAGAGGAGCUGUCCUUAGUACGAGAGGACCGGGAUGGACAUACCUCUGGUGUACCAGUUGUCGUGCCAACGGCAUAGCUGGGUAGCUAUGUAUGGACGGGAUAAGUGCUGAAAGCAUCUAAGCAUGAAGCCCCCCUCAAGAUGAGAUUUCCCAACUUCGGUUAUAAGAUCCCUCAAAGAUGAUGAGGUUAAUAGGUUCGAGGUGGAAGCGUGGUGACACGUGGAGCUGACGAAUACUAAUCGAUCGAAGACUUAAUCAA
rnacentral:rRNA from 1 species